CGUGGGCAACCUGCCCUGCACAGGGGGACAACAGCCGGAAACGGCUGCUAAUACCGCAUAAGCGCACAGCUUCGCAUGAAGCGGUGCGAAAAGCUUUGGCGGUGCAGGAUGGGCCCGCGUCUGAUUAGCUUGUUGGCGGGGCAACGGCCCACCAAGGCGACGAUCAGUAGCCGGCCUGAGAGGGUGGACGGCCACAUUGGGACUGAGACACGGCCCAG
rnacentral:rRNA from 1 species